GGGGGCUUUCCGGCCCUUGGAGGGGCUGAGGUGGCGGAACCUUGGACCCUUUGCCUCAGGCGGAUGGUGCUGAGAGGCCGCGCUCCGCGGGGACCUUGGGGAAGCCCGGGUGCUCUCUUUUGCACACUUCUAGCUACUUGGAACUGGACAUCCAGAGCCAGCUCGGAAACCAGCUUCUCUUCAUCCUCACUGCCUCCCGCUCCGAGUGGGCUUUUUCUCUCAACUUCUACAGGGGUCUCCACAUCUGGGUGCUGGGAAGGGAGGUCGGCGGCUUAGGACUCUACCUUGGAGCGGCCGAGUGUGGAAGCUUCUUGCGGAAGAGAUCUGACAUUCUAUUUUUUGUGCCCUGUUCCACGGGGACUUUCUUUACACUGUGUCUGGGAGCAAUAGGCCUUCAACGAAUGGUCAAAACCAGCUGACUCACUUCUGAGGAAGCAACUGAAGUGCUUGUUGUGGUAGCAGGAAGGAUCGAUUGAUGAUUGGAAAGAGGAAAUAAUGCCAUUUGCAGCAACAUGGAUGGACCUAGAGAUUAUCAUUCAGAUUAUCAUUCUGAACUCAGAUCAAGGAACACAGAAGGCAUGUAAGUGGUUCCUAUGGAGACACAAUGCUCCAUCUACCUUGUUGUCUCCAAGAUCAGUUGCUCAUGGUCUAUUGCAACUUGGCAGGAUAAAAUAAACACCAAGGGUGGCACUUAAGAAGAAAAGAAUUAUGAAAUUGAGAGCAAAUGUCCUACACACAAGGGACUUUAACCUCAGAGAGGGGUGACCUGCAGAGGAGCCCUGCCUGAGCCAUGCUGCGGAGGACCAAAUGCCCAUCUGUUCAUGAGCCUGAUCCACUGCCUCACCUCAAGAGUCAGAAGCAAAGCAAGUACUGGACACAGGGGCCAGUUUCAGGGGCUCUGCUGACAUGUCUAAAGGAAACUUCACGUGAUGUUUCCCCAGUGAGAAGUUUCUCGAAUUUUCAGCUUCUUAACUUGUCAAGGAGCUCCUGGAUUUUGGAAUUUGUAUUAUUAAAGCUUCCAGGGCAGCACUCACAGCACAUGGAAGUUCCCAUAGCCACAGCAACGUGGGAUCCAAGCCUGCUAUACCUCAGCUCAUGGCAAAGCUGGAUCCUUAACCCACUGAACAAGUCCAGGGAUUAAACCCACAUCCUCAUGGAUCCUAAUCAGGAUAAUGGUCUCUGGGAACCUGCAUGUCCUGAAAUGAUCUCAAAGUUUGGUAAUAGUUCUUGCUGUCCAGUUUUCACAGGAACAAGCGAUACAUUUCAAAGGCAUGCCUCAGACCUUGGUGUUUUGGGGACACCGUGUCUUGGCCUGCCCUUUCAUCAUUCUGUAGACACUGCUGAUGCUGCUCCUUGAGGAGGCCAGGGUUUAUGCCUUUCACAGCAACAGGACCUUUCACUCUGGGGAAAGACAGCUGCCAUGUCGUGAGGACACUCAACCAAUCUACAGCAAGGUCCACAUGGUGAGUAACGCGGCUUCCUGCCAACAGCUGUGUGAUCGAGUAACUUGGAAGCAAACACUGAGAACUCUGGCUCUUAUUUAAAAGCCCGUGAGUAAUUACCAAGGCUUUAACUGGCAGGUCUGAUGGGAGAAAGCUGCCCUCUCUGGGCCAGACCUGUGUACAACUAGUGCAUUACAGCCUGUGAAGAGAGCUGCAGUCAGCCAUUCAGGUUUCCUGGCCAGUCAUAUUCUUCACAUAUUUGAUUUCUUGGUUUUGAUGGGCACCCGCAUUCUGAGGUCUCUUUAUCUGAGGUCAUCUCCAGGUACCUCUGCUGAGGCCUCUUUACUGGGGGGAGGAGGAGGAAGAAAUCUUGAAUUCACCGAGGACGGUGUUAGGAAGGCUUCUCUAAGGAAGUAAUAAGUGAACUCAGAUCUAAAUGAUACUAAGAGCUAACUAGAUGAAAUAGGAACUUGUGAAUAGGUAAAAGGGGUCUUAGCCUAAGGAGUAGCAUGUACUCACCCAGAAUUCUGGCCUCAUGACUGUGAGGCUUCAUAAUGUAAGUAGGGAGAAAAGCAAGAUGAACUAAAAUCAUCUCCAGAACGCUGACCUAGGCACUGACCCCAGUGUGCUUGCUUUUUGGAAGCAGGAGGUGCACAAUGCAUCCUGUUUCUUAGCAGGAAGAGUCUAAAGAGUGAGAAGAAAAGGCUGAAUUGUAUAUAUUCAGUUCUUUUCUCAAUCUUACCCUUAAGAGUGACAUACCUUUUCACUAGAGGGGGCAGAUAAGGGAAAACAGCUCCACCAAUGGACCACAUAGGGCCUUAGUGAGGUUGUAUUUUUCCACGUGUUGUUACAAUGAUCAGCAUCCUGAGGACAUUUUAUAGGUCAUAAAAUCAGCAAGUGUUAACUGUGAUAAUUUGGACACCAGUGAUUUGGGCUCUUGGCAGGGCAAAAAAACAUGAAGCUUUUGAUGAAUAAGAUUAUGGACAUGGUCCUUGAUCAGGAGCAGAUGGUUAAAUUUGUUGCUGUAAUCAGUUUGUCUUCAAUUCAAUGCCGAUUUAUUUGUGGUCAUUUCAUUGUUUUCUCCACUGAGACAUUAAAAGACUAGUAAUUAACUUGAAGGAAAAAAGAAAAGUGUGAAUUCCAUAAAAGUACCUUCAUUAAGUUCUUUAUAUUCUCUUCUUCAUCUGUCAUGAUAGUACAUUGAACUACGUAUUCCUUAUAUCUGUUUAACAAAUGUGUAUUCGAGAACUACUGUGUGUUGAGCUGUGUACUAAAUCUAGUGAACAGAAUGCUGGGAAAAACAGAAAAAACAUUAUUUCUGAAGUCAAAAAGCUUAUACUCUACUAAAGAAACAAAUAUCAAUAGAAUAAUUCCAAAAAAGUAAAUGUAAAAUUAUACUUGUAAUAGCUGCUAAGAACAGAUGCAUGGUACUGUGGUAGCCACUAAGAAGGGAUUUGACUUAGAUGGGGAGUAGAAAAGACUUCUCUCAAGAAAUAGUAUUUAAGCUGAAAUCUGAGAGGCAAGUAGUAAUACCUGAGGCCAGAAGAGUGGAGAUAGGAAGGAGAUUUUCCAGCCUGAGAAAAUAGCUUGUGUGACUGCCACCUGGCCGCAGGCAGUGUGGUUAAACAUAAGGGGUGGAUGAGGCCUCUUGUGUCUAUACCCAAUUCAGAAUGUGAGUGACUGUUCAUCUGACUUUUUCAAACAUCAUAUUUUCCUGGACAAAACAACAAAUGGAUGCUGGAGUUGGGAAUUUAUUUGCCUGAAGUAUUCAAUUAGGGUAAUGCUAGCUAUCGAAACAAGGAAAUUAAAAUUCCAGUGGCUUAACAUAAUAGAGUUUUCUUUCUAUUCCUGAACAAGUAUACUGGGAUGUACUGUUUGGUGGUGGCUUUGGGGUGUUUCAGGGACUCAGGCACCUUCCAUCUUGCAGCUCCACCAUCUACUAGGCUCCAACAGGUGGAGGGAGGCAGCAAAGAGUGUACAACUGCUUCUGUUAUAAAUGCAGGCUCAGAAGUAAUACACACAUUUAUUGGUGUGAAUUAGUCAUGGGAUUGGACUUUUAUGCAAAGGGCUUCUGGGGAAUGUACUCAUUGCCUGGGAAGAUGCCUCUGGGAAAUACCUACUGUAUUCUAGAAUAGGGAACAUAAUUUUCUGUGUGGACAGCUAACAUCUUUACCGCACGUACUGAAUGAAUGCAAAUUGCUGAUUAGUUAUGCAAAUAUACUCCAACUUUGAAUUUCACCGCUCUCUGGGAAAUUAUGUAACAUUUUCAAAACAACGUGUUGAUUUUUUAUUACUCAAUGAAUUUCUUACAUUUGUAGUUGUACAAUGAUUGGCACAAUCCAAUUUUAUAGGAUUUCCAUCCCAUAACCCCAGCACAUCCCUCCACCCCCCAAACUGUCUCCUUUGGAGAUCAUAAGUUUUUCAAAGUCUGUGAGUCAGUAUCUGUUCUGCAAAGAAGUUCAUUCUGUCCUUUCUUCAGAUUCCACAUGUCAGUGAAAGCAUUUGAUGUUGGUUUCUCAUUGUGUGACCAACUUCACUUAGCAUGCUAAUUCUAGGUCCAUCCAUGUUGCUAAAAAUGCUGGUUCCUUUUAGUGGCUGAGUAAUAUUCCAUUGCAUAUAUGUACCACAUCUUCUUGAUCCACUCCUCUGUCGAUGGACAUUUAGGUUGUUUCCAUGUCUUGAAACAAGUGCUGCAAUGAACAUUGGAGAAAAGAAACAUGUUGAUUUUUAAUUUUGAAAGUAAACAUAUGCUAUUUGGCAUUUUGGAAUGAGGUAUGCAUAUCUUCAUGAUGAAAGAUAUUUUUAUGAUAUUUUUAUAAAAGGAAAAAAUCAUUCCCUAGCAGGUGGAGAGAAAUUAGUUACAAUGGCUUGUCUUCUUUGGGAACGUGGUCUUUGAUAAUUUCUCUCAAGCCUUGAGCAACUAAUUUUAUGGUUGGAUCCACAAUCAAAUGCAAGUGAGAAAAGAGGACUUCUUAAAUAAGCCUUUAUAAUUUCUUUUUCUACCUGCAGACCUCUUCAUUUAUGACAGAAAACUAACCCAAAUAUGAGUAUAUUAAAGGUUCAAUUUGAGGUAUUUUAUUUUUGUCAUUCUUAAAAUCUCAUUGGUUCAUCUGAACUUUUUUGUGAUAAAAUUUAUAAUGGAAAAUACUACAAACGUGUGUGUUUGGUCUGCCUAAAAGGAGCUGUAGGGAUUAGAUAAGGUGGGAGAAGUAUUAAAGCCGAAGAAAUUAUUACCCACUGUACCACCUUAGCACUGGAGUGAGUGGCAAAUGUGACUUUAGCCCCAGAAAUAUUAAAAGCAGGAAUUAUAUCUGACUCAUCCAUUCAAGGGUGGAAAACUAACCGGAAGUCUUACUUCAGCCUAAGAGUGAUAAAGCGCCAGUUGCUGAGAUCCUGACCUGAUGUACAUAAAUUAAAUAAUAAUGGCAAAAUAUUACGUCUGUGUAGUGCUUUGUGAUUUCCAAAGCACCAUCUGGGAUUGGUAUUUAUCACCGUUGCAAUACAGCAAUAAAAAUAGUCAGACAGUUAUAAAGUUACUCACUUAGGAGAAGUUAGGUAUGCAAAAUCUUUCGGUUAAGGUGCCCCAGGAGUUGAGUGUUCCUAGUAUUUAUAAACUUCCACUUAAGUUUGAAUUUAUGUCACUUCUUGUUCUCAUGUUGAUUGAGUACAUUUUAAGUACAACCCAAAUUUACUAAUACUCAUGAAUAACCUUUCAGACUGGGUGAGCUAGGCUAUUAUCUAAUUGGACUUUUUACCACCAGGUAUUGACGUAAUCUGGGAUCCUUAGUAAUCCUGGGUUCUAGGUUUUUUUCUGGGCACUUAUGAGUUUUAUGUCCUUGAUCAAAUUUCUUAGCUCGGAGUCUGUUUCUUUAUCUGUAAAAUAGAGAUAACAAUUCUUGUUCUUAUCAGUGUCAUGAAAUGCACCUGGGUAAUUUAUGAAGAUUGAGACCAGUUUUUAUAAAUCUUAUAUGUUCUACAAAUAGAAGUGAUUAUUUGGCUUUGUCUUCCUUAUUGGUUUUUAUAAUCCAACUCAAUCCAGAAAUAAAUGGAUCUAGACCACGGGGUUGAGCCUAACUGAAAUUGGUUCUUGGGAUAACAAAUUUGUUUUAUGAUUUCUUAAUCUUAAGUUGACCACCUAUCCUAGUUUGUCCAGGAUUUUCUGAAUUUUAACACUGAAAGUCCAGUGUCCUGGUAAACCCUUCAAUUCUGAGAAAACCAGGAUGGCUAGUGACCCUACCUUGACUUUCCAAUUCUAAGAAUCUUUCUCAGAAAUAGUUUUUAAUCAUAUCUUAUUAAUAUGAGAUCUUCCUUUGGAAAGAAUAUCCCUUCUAUAUGAGUCCAUUUAUUUUUCAGAAUAUGGAUUAUAUUAGACUUUCAUCCAAAAUCCAUGGCAAAAUAAUAAUGAAGUUUAAGUGUCUCCAUAAUGACAUAGGACUUGUAUACAAAGAUACGUUUUCAAUCCCUUCCUUAUUAACAGGUAUGAUAACUUCCCCUCCAGCAGUUCUGGCAUAUAGAAGUUCCCAGGAUAGGGGCGGAAUCAGAGCUGUAGUCGCCGGCCUGCACCACAGCCACAGCAAUGCCAGAUCUGAGCCAUGUCUGUGACCUACACCACAGCUCAUGGCGAUGCCAGAUCCUUAGCCCACUGAACAGGGACAGGGAUCAAACCCAAGUCCUCAUGGAUACUAGUUGAGUUUGUAACUGCUGAGCCCCCAUGGGAACUCCUCCUCCAGCACUUAUUGUAUUUAAUUGAACUACUUGAUCAUCCAUCUCCUUCAUUAGAUCUAAUAAGGAAUCCAGUCAUGUUCAUCUUUGAUUCUGACUGGCACAAUGGAAACACCUAGGAAAUAUACAAUUAACUGAAAUAUAGAGCUUAAACUUGUAUUGCUCAACCCUUAUAAAAGUCAGAGUUUUGAUGAUCCAUAAAAUGUGCAUAAUAAAAAUUUCAUUAAGCCUCAUAGAGUUUAGUGAGCCUUAAAUAAAAUAACAUGAAAAAUGUUAAUUACUUUUGUAAACUGUAAAGUAUAAUAAAAUUUAAGUUUGAGAAAGGAUUGCUAUUAAUGUUUAAUAGCUUUCACAUUUUAAUAUUCUUUCAGUCUGCCAUAACUCCUGGAAUCUUGAUUUGAUCUUUGAAUAUUAAAUUUUUACUUCUAUCCAAAAGUUUGUCAUUUAUCCUAUACAUAAAUGACCACAGGAUAAUGUGAAAUGGACAUGAAUAUAGGCAUUUACAAAUUAACAUCAUCAUAUAUAAAUAUAAUAAGAAAUGUGGAUGCAUUUAAGUUCAGUCUAGUUUAUUUCCUGAAAGACUUUGCUCGAGUCAUCUAUGUUAAUGUUGUGCAAUAGUUGGUAAGCCAAUGAAACAGCAAUAAAUUAUAUGUUUGUUGCCAAAUAAAUUAAGUCUUUAUUGCAACAUGAUUCAUGGUUGUCUCAAAUUUAUUGCUGAUUAGAAAGCCUUGCUCAGGAGUUCCAUUUGUGGCCCAGCGGUUUAUGAACCUGACUAGUAUUCAUGAGGAUGUAGGUUCAAUCCCCGGCCUUGCUCAGUGGGCUAAGGAUCCACAGUUGCCGUGAGCUGUGUUGUAGGUUACAGAUGUGGGUUGGAUCCUGCUUUUCUGUGGUGUAGCAACUGCAGCUUCAAUUUGAUCCCUAGCCUGAGAAUUUCCAUAUACUGCAGGUGUGGCCCUAAAAAGCACACACACACACACACAAAAAAAAAAAAAAAAAAAA
rnacentral:lncRNA from 1 species